UACGUAGGAUCCAAGCGUUGUCCGGAUUUACUGGGUGUAAAGGGUGCGCAGGCGGACUGGUUAGUCUGGGGUGAAAUCUCAUCGCUUAACGGUGAACUGCCUUAGAUACUGCCAGUCUUGAAUCAGCGAGAGGUUCGUGGAAUUCCGAGUGUAGCAGUGAAAUGUGUAGAUAUUCGGAAGAACACCAGUGGCGAAGGCAGCGAACUGGCGCUCGAUUGACGCUCAGGCACGAAAGCAUGGGGAUCAACAGGAGUUAGAA
rnacentral:rRNA from 1 species